rnacentral:piRNA from 1 species
UCAACCGACUGGAUGCCUAUC